GGAUAUAGCUCAGUUGGUUAGAGUGCCAGGUUGUGGCCCUGGAGGUCGUCGGUUCGAAUCCGAUUAUC
rnacentral:tRNA from 1 species